CCCAAUCUUUUAAAAGAUAAAGGCCCAAUUAAAAUAAAUGAAGAGGGCCAAAUUCCAUUUAAAAAUCGGCCCAUCACUUAUUAAAAAUCGGCCCAAGACUCGGCCCAAAAUAAAGAAAUAAUGAAGCCCAAAGAAAAUAAAAUAAAGGCCCAAUUAUAAUAAAUACAACAAGGCCCAAAAAUAAAUAGGAGGCCCAAAUUUUCGGCCCAACUCAAUUAAAUUAAAAUCAAGCCCAACAUAAAAAAAAAAACCCCAAAUCUUUAAAAAUUUCGGCCCAACUUAAAAUAAAAAGAAGCCCAAAAUUCGGCCCACAUAAAAUGGCCCAAAUCCUUCCUUAUCUCUCCCACUCGGUCUCUCUCUCUCUCAGACGCACGCUUCUCUCUUUUCUCUCUCACUGAAAAACUCAAAAUCCAGUCGAGCUCUCUCGACCUCGGCUCCGACGAGGUUGCCGGCGUCGCCGCCGCCUAAGCCCGGCAAGGUCGUGCCUCCUCCCUUUUUCCUAUCAGUCGGAUCUCUCUCUCUUUCCUCCCCAAAAUCUGCUCUUCUUCUUGAUUCAAAAACCAGUCGAUCGGCCCUUCCCAGCUCGCUCGACGUCUUCUUCUCCGGCCAUCCAGCCGCCUGCUCCGGUCGUCGUCAUCUGUCGACGCGUCAAAUCCCCGGCGCCGUCCUCUUUCCUCCCCCAACAUCGAGCCCUGAUUCUCAAGGAAUCAUUGCUGCUGCUGCUUCUACCCUUUCGAAAUUGGGCGGCCGGUCGCCGUCUGGGAGCGGCGUUGCUCUGGCCUGGAGCCCGUCGGCCUCCUCUCCUUCCGGCCGCUCUCUCUCUUUCUCGGCCAAGAUCUGAUCGGCCCUCUUCCUCGGUUGUUCAGCGGCCAUCGGUUCCGGUCUCUCUCCCUCACGCUGAAGUUCCGCCGCCGCCUUGUGAAGGCCGGCGAGCAGGGGAGUGUCCGACGCCCUCAUCGCGCCGCUGCUGCCCUUGGAAUGGUGCCGCUGUUCUUCCCGGCGGCAGGUGAAAGGCUCGCCGAUCCGCUGCUGUCCUUGGAUCGUUGUUGCUGUUUGGGGUCCCGAUGAGGUUCGAGUUGCGUCACGCCGCCUUCUUCCUCCGUUCCGGUCCGGAUUCAGAUGUCAAAGCAGGCGGGGAGUCGAGCCUUGUUCUUUUCCGCCUCUGCCGCCAUGGUUCUGCCGCCAUCUCCACCGUUUGUGGAAGAUCAGCGAUUCAGCGCCGUUGUUUCGUUCGUGACGCUGCUGCUGUUGUCACGCAAUUUCCGCCGAGGCAGCAGGAGAUGCCGCUGAAAUCUGUCCUCUGCUCAAGAACCGGCUCAAGCCUCACUCUCUCCCUUUUUCUAUUGAAUUAUGGUAUUUCUAUAAUUGAUUAUGCAAGAGAUAAAACUAAGUUCGUGGUUUACUAAUGUAUCAAGAAAUUUCCUUGCUUGCCUCGUGUGAUAAGAAAAUAUAGCAUAAACUGAUUUCUGCCUAAAGAUCAUAUGAGUUUGCUAAGUCUCUUUAUGAAUAUACUCAUUGUAUGCUUAGUAUCCUUUAAUCGAUCAUGCUUGUUGGAUGAAAAACGAAUGGAUUGAAUGAGCUGAGCCUAGUGUUUACCUUGUAUAUUUGUGCUUGAUUGGCUGAUCUGUUUUCUUCUUCUUGGUGAAAAUUUGUUGGCAUAUACUGUUUGAAUAAGGAGAUCUCGGAGAUUAUAGAUGUUAUUUCGGGUGUUUUUUUCUGUGUGAAACUUGGUUUUGAUGUUGGCAUGAGCUUGCUGUAAACAUUCUGUUGGAAUAUACGAAUUGGAUUUUCUUAAACAGCUCCACUGGCGAUCUAUUGAGUAAGAAGGGAGAAGGAUUUGGUGGGGAGCAAAAGAUAAUGGAGUUGGUGGAG
rnacentral:lncRNA from 1 species